UACAGGGGGGGCAAGCGUUGUUCGGAAUUACUGGGCGUAAAGGGCUCGUAGGCGGCCAACUAAGUCCGACGUGAAAUCCCAAAGCUUAACUUUGGAACUGCGUCGGAUACUGGAUGGCUUGAAUUCGGGAGAGGGAUGCAGAAUUCCAGGUGUAGCGGUGAAAUGCGUAGAUAUCUGGAGGAAUACCGGUGGCGAAGGCGGCAUCCUGGACCGGUAUUGACGCUGAGGCGCGAAAGCCAGGGGAGCAAACGGG
rnacentral:rRNA from 1 species